rnacentral:rRNA from 1 species
AGUGAACGCUGGCGAUAGGCCUAACACAUGCAAGUCGAACGGCAGCACAGUAAGAGCUUGCCCUUACGGGUGGCGAGUGGCGGACGGGUGAGGAAUACAUCGGAAUCUACUUUUUCGUGGGGGAUAACGUAGGGAAACUUACGCUAAUACCGCAUACGACCUACGGGUGAAAGCAGGGGUCUUCGGACCUUUCGCGGUUGAAUGAGCCGAUGUCGGAUUAGCUAGUUGGCGGGGUAAAGGCCCACCAAGGCGACGAUCCGUAGCUGGUCUGAGAGGAUGAUCAGCCACACUGGAACUGAGACACGGUCCAGACUCCUACGGGAGGCAGCAGUGGGGAAUAUUGGACAAUGGGCGCAAGCCUGAUCCAGCCAUACCGCGUGGGUGAAGAAGGCCUUCGGGUUGUAAAGCCCUUUUGUUGGGAAAGAAAAGCAGCAGGUUAAUACCCCGCUGUUCUGACGGUACCCAAAGAAUAAGCACCGGCUAACUUCGUG